AAGUCGUAACAAGGUUUCCGUAGGUGAACCUGCGGAAGGAUCAUUAGUGAUUGGCGAAAGCCUUUACCUUUCAUACACCUGUGCACCGUGGUCUUCGGACCUUUUACAAACAAAUAGUUAAGAACGUAAAACAUUAUAAUAAAUAAAA
rnacentral:misc_RNA from 1 species